rnacentral:rRNA from 1 species
UACGUAGGGUCCGAGCGUUGUCCGGAAUUAUUGGGCGUAAAGAGCUCGUAGGCGGUUUGUCGCGUCGACUGUGAAAACCUGGGGCUCAACCCCGGGCCUGCAGCCGAUACGGGCAAGCUAGAAUUCGGUAGGGGAGACUGGAAUUCCUGGUGUAGCGGUGAAAUGCGCAGAUAUCAGGAGGAACACCGAUGGCGAAGGCGGCUCACUGGCCCGGUACUGACGCUGAGGUGCGAAAGCGUGGGGAGCAAACAGG